AACGAACGCUGGCGGCAUGCCUAACACAUGCAAGUCGAACGAGACCUUCGGGUCUAGUGGCGCACGGGUGCGUAACGCGUGGGAACCUACCCUUAGGUUCGGAAUAACUCCCCGAAAGGGGUGCUAAUACCAGAUAAUGUCUUCGGACCAAAGAUUUAUCGCCUUUGGAUGGGCCCGCGUUGGAUUAGCUAGUUGGUAGGGUAAAAGCCUACCAAGGCGACGAUCCAUAGCUGGUCUGAGAGGAUGAUCAGCCACACUGGGACUGAGACACGGCCCAGACUCCUACGGGAGGCAGCAGUGGGGAAUAUUGGACAAUGGGCGAAAGCCUGAUCCAGCAAUGCCGCGUGAGUGAUGAAGGCCUUAGGGUUGUAAAGCUCUUUUACCCGGGAUGAUAAUGACAGUACCGGGAGAAUAAGCUCCGGCUAACUCCGUG
rnacentral:rRNA from 1 species